UGACCUGCUUCAAUUUCGAAGCACAAGGCCAUACGGACAGCUAGGUCUAUUGCCGU
rnacentral:sRNA from 1 species